ACACGGGGGUUGCAAGCGUUGUCCGGAAUUACUAGGCGUAAAGUGCAGGUAGGCGGAUAGGUAAGUUUAAGGUUAAAGGCUACGGCUUACCCGUAGUAAGGCGUUAGAUACUGUUUAUCUGGAAUGCGGUUGAGGGAGACAGAAUUCCUGGUGUAGCGGUGGAAUGCGCAGAGAUCAGGAGGAAUACCGAAGGCGAAGGCAGUCUUCUAAGCCGAUAUUGACGCUAAACUGCGAAGGUGUGGGGAUCAAACAGGAUUAGAUACCCUGGUAGUCCACGCCGUAAACGAUGGAUACUAGGUGUGGGAGGUAUCGACCCCUUCCGUGCCGCAGCUAACGCAAUAAGUAUCCCGCCUGGGGAGUACGGUCGCAAGGCUGAA
rnacentral:rRNA from 1 species